CUACGGGUGGCAGCAGUGGGGAAUAUUGCACAAUGGGCGCAAGCCUGAUGCAGCCAUGCCGCGUGUAUGAAGAAGGCCUUCGGGUUGUAAAGUACUUUCAGCGGGGAGGAAGGGAGUAAAGUUAAUACCUUUGCUCAUUGACGUUACCCGCAGAAGAAGCACCGGCUAACUCCGUGCCAGCAGCCGCGGUAAUACGGAGGGUGCAAGCGUUAAUCGGAAUUACUGGGCGUAAAGCGCACGCAGGCGGUUUGUUACGUCAGAUGUGAAAUCCCCGGGCUCAACCUGGGAACUGCAUCUGAUACUGGCAGGCUUGAGUCUCGUAGAGGGGGGUAGAAUUCCAGGUGUAGCGGUGAAAUGCGUAGAGAUCUGGAGGAAUACCGGUGGCGAAGGCGGCCCCCUGGACGAAGACUGACGCUCAGGUGCGAAAGCGUGGGGAGCAAACAGGAUUAGAUACCCGCGUAGUC
rnacentral:rRNA from 1 species